rfam:Asian citrus Psyllid, Diaphorina citri - Florida Strain, whole genome shotgun sequence.
AUCAGCGCUGAUAUCACGUAAAUACACCAGUGCCCAAUGGAUCACUAAAAUUGAGCAUCUUUGAGCAUGGUUAGUAUCCGGACGGGUGACCAUCUCGGCAAUCGCGAACUGCUGGGU